CACUUCAAUCAGAUUUUACCUGGCAAGAAGAUGGGAAUCAGGCAGGCCUGACAUGACUGCUUCCGGGUGCUGCAUCACCCCCUCCAGAGGAAGCGCUUCCCCUACAGGUAGAAGGCAGCAAAAUAGCCGUCAAGCAACUUCAGUGACUUGCCCCAAAGGAUUUAGAUCUCUUUCCUCCAGAAUACUAAAAUAUCGCCUCCAGUGAUGAAAAGCAUGGUGUGCAAAUCGACUCUCUGGGUUCCUGUGGAGAGAUUCACAUCCCACAUAAAUAACUCUUCAGGCGCCCUGGUCAGGAAUUCUCAGGCAAAGUCUCUUCCAGGCACAGCCUCAAUAGGACACAGCUGCACUGAUGUUAGUCUCAAUUGAUGGAGCGAAGAAGCCUCAUCUUUAUUCAGUGUAAAGCAGCUGCCAAGAGACAUGGCCUUUGAGAGGGGUAAUAAGUUCAUGAAUAUCACCUGUGUCGUGCAAAACAAUAUUUGAUUUUUUUGAAAGUUUAAAUUGGUUGGAAAGAACAUAUGAAUUAAGUGCUAUCUCAUGAGUGAAAAGUUUUGCUGCAGGGUGACAGAGUGCGCCAUCAAGGUGAUGCAUUUCAAACAUUACCUUCCUGUGACACAAGGGAGUCAUGGACCAAAUGGAACAGAGGAAAUUAUGACCUGCUGGCCAGGAUGGAUCUGUAACAUAGGAAUGCCACACCAAUAUCCUGCAUUCCUAUUUCAGAGAAUAAGACCUUGAGCAAAUAAAACAAAUGCUGAAGUAGGGUUUUUCUCUGUGUAUGAAUAUGCUCCACAAAAUUAGGCCAUGCUGGAAAUUCAUCAUAUAUUUAGGAAACUAUUCUCAAGGGAGAAAACAGUGUUAUAGACUAGUAACCUAAUAAUUGA
rnacentral:lncRNA from 1 species